CAAUUUACUCAUACGACAGAUGAUCAGAUUUUUCUACAUCAGUUCACAAAGAGAUUUGUAAAGUGAAAAAACAACUCUGAAGUGUCAACAAAGAACAAUACUUACAAACCACACCUCUCAACUAGAUCUCCAAUACACGUCUUCACAAGAAGCUUUCUUGACUGCAUUGACAGGAAGCCUGUGGUUUCGUAUUCCUGAAGAAUCUGUGGAGCUUUUUUCAUGAGUAGUGACUGUAAGGGCUGACUCUCCUCUCCCCUAUUAGUAUGGGGCUGUGGAGGAUAAAAGUUAUUGCUGCAGUAUGUUUAAUAUCAUCACAAUAAUCUUGAAUCUAAGAACUAUAAAGAAAAAGUUGAAUGAGUUGGUGAUUAAAUUAGAAAAUGUUUUAACCAGUAAAAUUACAAAUAAAUUUACUCUGUAAACAUGCUGAAACAUGAAAUCCUGAUUUUAAAUGAACAUGAGAACAGUAUAAAAAUAAAUACAUUUAUCCAACUCAAACACUACCUGGUUUUGAUUCAUCUCCUCAAGAGAAGCUUCCCUCCAGUUGACAGGAACACAUGGAAUCUGUCAAAGUCCUUCAUUUCCACAUUGGUGUCAACAUCAGUGUACUCCAAGAAGUCAGAGUUAUACUUUAAUAUCCUGUCCAAAGAACAGCCAGAUUGCUUGGCAAGAUUUUGUUCAAUGAGAUUAUUAAUACUUGAAACAUGAAGAAUUUUUUUAGAAGUCUCUUUUCCAUUUUGAAAAGUUGUUACAAGGACUUUGACAGAUUCCAGAUUGUCAAAUGAGAACUGAAAAAGUGAAUAAACAAAAAUAAUACAAUUAGAACAUUUUCGUCUAGAUUACAGACAUGAAAAAAUGCUUGUUUGUUAGCUUUUGAAUUUAACACCAUCAUGAUCCAAAAUUGCACACAAGACAAACUAAAUUUGUUGAACUGCAGCCAUCUUAAGAAUAAUGUUAAACAGAAAAGUUGUUUCCUACGCUAAUACCAUACUAAUUCGUUCCCACGACAUAGGUAUAACGUGCGCAUGAAAUACUAAAUCAUAAUCUUCCUAUACAGCGCACUUUCUGAAACAUAGGGAGGAACAAAACAACAACUGGAUGAAGAGGGAUAGUCUGGUCGAGUUUCAUUUUAGGCUGGGGAGAAGCUAUAAAGAGAUUGGGAAAAGUCUGGCAUCUUAUUAGUGAGAGACCAUUAAAUAGAAUAUUAAAAGCCAGGUGUUAACCCUUCCUGCUUCUGUUACCUGACCGUGGUCGGGAAACACAAGGGAGAUACUUCCUCCAUGGCCGAAAUGGUUGUUCACUUCGGGGUGUAAUUUUUGUACUCCCUGUACUUGCGUGUCAAAGGGGGUGAGACUUCUAUAAUAAUAAAAGCAGUGGAGUUUUUAAUAUCUGUACUGCACACUGAUUACACGUUAAAUGUACCGUGGCCAGCUGAACUUACUCUCCGGUCGCUGUCGUGCAUAGGCUAGUGCCAAAACAUACAACCGCGCCAACACUCUUCUUCUCUCUCUGCACUCUUCUUCGUGGUCCGAAUAUAACAGCGCACAUCGCCACCGCAAAUAUGCACACGUACACAUUUACACACCUACUGUACACUGAGCUCCAUCACUUAUGAGUUACACAUCUAAUGUAACACAGGUCACUUGAUGCCUACUUAGUAUUUCGAGGAAACUGAUUAGUAUUUCGUGCGCUCGCUAUAUACAUAUAUAUUCCCCCAUGUCAGUUCCCAGGCGCCAUAGACAUCUAUAAAAAAUAUUUAAGUUUCAUAUAAAACUUCAACCAUCUCCUUUUUACAUUAAAUAAUUUUAACAUCUUACCUCUUCAAUUAACUUUGGCCAAAAAAAGACAACUAUAGCAAACCAUACCGAUAAAAUGGUAUUUUAGAAGCCUUGCAACGAGAAUGAGCUAGCUAAAUUUGACAUGAAACCCAGCAUAACUACAUGCUACCCCGUCGUAGCAACAAAAAAUACCAUAACACAUUUUCAACUAUUGAUUCGGCAAAUUCCAAUAAGACUAACUUGUUACCACUGCGUUAAAACAAAUAAAACGUACUUACCGAAGUGACUGUUACAGAAGAUGCAGCCUCCAUCUUUGUCUCCUUUGUUAAUUUAGACCAUAAGGCGGGAAAGUCUUCCUCCAACUAGAACACAAACCAACACAAAUAUGUGUUGAAAUAUACAACACAUCGUGUGUUAUACUUUUGAUGCCAUUUUAACACAUCGUGUGUUAAAAUUAACGCAUAAUGUGCUUUAAAUGUAAUAACACACAUUCUGUGUUAUUUGUUUUAACACAUCUCUUAUAAGAGUGUACAUGUUUGUGUUUGUUAUGGCUUGUGUCCAUUUUGACCAUUUCCAAUCAUCAUCACAGGAUUACAAUUAACUGUAUAUAAGGAACUCAUUUAGAGUUUUGUUUUUUAUAUAUAAAACGUUUUUUAUUGUUUUUUUUUUCUUCAUCAGCAUUUUCAUUUAUUCCUAUUUAAAGCCUUGUUUUUAUGAGAUGCUAAACAGUUAUUUUUUUCUAGCCUGCUUUAGAAAUGGUGGUUUUUCAGCAAACAAUGAAGAAACAAACUUUGAUUUGAUCAAAUUUAAUAAGUUACAUGAUGUUAAAAAGUCAAGCUUUCAGCUUAAAUGUUAUAGAGCCUCUGGACAUCAAGUUAAGAGUUAAAAGUAAUGAGUUGUCAUAACCAAUGACCAGUUACACAAAGCCUUGUUAAAAACCUUAGCCUACAAAAGUUAGCAUUUAAAACUGAAAUGUAGCUCAUGAAAACAUUAUCAGUGUGAACCACUUAUCUUGUAAUAAAACCUGGGAAAAGCUCCUAUUAUUGUUGUCAAUGUGUAUGUAUUUAAAUCCAAUUUAUGCACUGCUCUUUAUCUUUCUAGCUACAUUAUGUUGGUCUAUGUUUAUUUGUUUAGUUGAUUUUGUUAAAGACUGGUUGAACUUAACCUAUGUGCCUGUGUGUUUAAAGAAAAACAGAAGGGGUGUGAACACUUUGUGGCAUUGUGGGUAUUUUAAACCAAACAGUAGAGAAGUCGCAUUAUCAAAAAUACAUUCAUGAUGUUACAUAGAAAGUCAUUUACUUGAAUAUUGACAUGUAAGGUCACACAGCUGAAGCUUUCUUCUUUAAUCUUUAAUCUUUCUAUAUUAUUCAGUAACAUUUGUGCUUGUUAAUAUUAUUUUGUUUGUAUUUUGCUAAAUCCACUAAGAUCUGGUUUUGCUCUCACCACCAGUGCUGCCUUAACUUUCAACAACUGCUUCAAGAUCGCCGUGCCAAAUAGGAGGAAAAGCAACUACUGAAUGAAGCGAACCACCAGCUGGUCGCCUUGACAACCGCAGCUGAAUUGUGUUUGUUUUUUUUCUCUGUUUGACACCAGUUUGGUUUUAAGUGAAAGCAUUUUUACAGAAAUGUACUUCAUAUUAACAAGCUGCUGGAUAAACCUCAAAUACAUUAUUCCGACAUGAACAAACCUUUUUUAAAGGGAUGGCGGAAUAAUUAAAUAAUAGCAAACACCCAGGAUGGGAUUUAAACCCAAGACCUUCAUACUGCAAGGCAGCUAUGCUAUCAACUGCACCACCAUGCAGCCCUUAGGCCAGUUAGAAUUCUUCUGUCGUGUUUUUAGCUUUAAACAGUGUAAGAGAAAACCUGUAUACAUCAUGAGAUUGCUUAUAACUUUAACUUCUAACAAAACAAGAGGAAUCUGUAAAGUAACUCAUUAGAACAGUCCUGUCACUCAAAAUAAUCCAUUCAGUAAUUUAGUAAAGUUACCUAAAUUACAUUCUGUGCUUUAACUUAACACCCAAAACCUAAAUUAAAGCUGAAAACAAAUUCAGUUGUUUUUUCCAACAUGAAACAUGUGUAGGAACCAUAUGAGGGAAUUUGGGCUGCAUCUUGUACGUUUAUUUUGUCAUCUUGUUGUUUUUACAAAACCCCAAAGAAAGUUCACAGUCAAACUGUUGGUCAUUAAUUAAAAGAAAUUCACUUUAAGGCAGCAUUUGUUUUCCACAUCACACAACAGAUCUAUAAUUUGAAACAAAAAUAUGUAAAACAAGUCAAGUUAGUUUCUUUAAGCUCUGAAUAUAAAGUUUAUCAAAUCAGAUCCAGGCCUCUUUUUAUUGACAUGAAUAUAUAACCUGAGACUAGACAGAAUUAUGCUGAUAUAAAACACAUUUAGAGACAAAGAAAUUAGAAUAUAAACAUUUUUGAUUUUGGGAUUCAGGAUUAUUUAUCAGCUUCUUAAUGUCAGAUUGUACAUCAGACUAAAGCACUUUUCCUACACGUACUGAAGUCCUCAUGAAAUUGAAUGUUCUCUUUACUCAUUGAAAUGAACUGCUUAAAAACA